rnacentral:rRNA from 1 species
CCUACGGGAGGCAGCAGUAGGGAAUAUUGCACAAUGGGGGAAACCCUGAUGCAGCGACGCCGCGUGAGGGAAGAAGGUUUUCGGUAUGUAAAGCUCUAUUGGUAGGGAAGAAAAUGACGGUACCUGAGUAAUACGCACCGGCUAACUCCGUGCCAGCAGCCGCGGUAAUACGGAGGGUGCAAGCGUUACCCGGAAUUACUGGGCGUAAAGAGCGCGUAGGCGGGAUAGCAAGUCAGGUGUGAAAUCCUAGGGCUUAACCCUAGAACUGCAUUUGAAACUGUUAGUCUGGAGUGUGGGAGAGGUAGGUGGAAUUCUUGGUGUAGGGGUAAAAUCCGUAGAGAUCAGGAGGAAUACUAAUUGCGAAGGCGACCUGCUAGAACGUAACUGACGCUGAUGCGCGAAAGCGUGGGGAGCAAACAGGAUUAGAUACCCGGGUAGUC